rnacentral:rRNA from 1 species
AUUGAACGCUGGCGGCAGGCCUAACACAUGCAAGUCGAGCGCGCGGCGGACGGGUGUGAAUAGUCUGGGAAACUGUCUGUUGGAGGGGGAUAACUCCUGGAAACGGUAGCUCUAACCGCACACUACCAGAUGUGCCCAGAUGGGAUUAGCCAGUGGGUGGGGUAACGGCUCACCAAGGCGACGAUCCCUAGCUGGUCUGAGAGGAUGAUCAGCCACACUGGAACUGAGACACGGUCCAGACUCCGACGGGAGGCAGCAGUGGGGAAUAUUGCACAAUGGGCGCAAGCCUGAUGCAGCCAUGCCGCGUGUAUGAAGAAGGCCUUCGGGUUGUAAAGCACUUUCAGCGGGGAGGCGUUACCCGCAGAAGAAGCACCGGCUAACUCCGUGCCAGCAGCCGCGGUAAUAC